rnacentral:pre_miRNA from 1 species
GACCUUAUUCAGACAAAGCUCUUUUUGAUUCCAGUAGGAUUUUGCCUGAGUAGGGACUGC